CAUGGCGGACGGGUGAGUAACGUGUAAAGAACUUACCAUAUAGACUGGGAUAACAGAGGGAAACUUCUGAUAAUACUGGAUAAGUUAGUAGUAGCAUUACUAAGUAAUGAAAGGUAGCAAUACGCUAUAUGAGAGCUUUGCAUCCUAUUAGCUAGUUGGUGGGGUAAAAGCCUACCAAGGCGAUGAUAGGUAGCCGGCCUGAGAGGGUGGACGGCCACAAGGGGACUGAGAUACGGCCCUUACUCCUACGGGAGGCAGCAGUGGGGAAUAUUGGACAAUGGAGGCAACUCUGAUCCAGCAAUUCUGUGUGUGUGAAGAAGGUUUUAGGACUGUAAAACACUUUUAGUAGGGAAGAAAGAAAUGACGGUACCUACAGAAGAAGCGACGGCUAAAUACGUGCCAGCAGCCGCGGUAAUACGUAUGUCGCGAGCGUUAUCCGGAAUUAUUGGGCUUAAAGGGCAUCUAGGCGGUUAAACAAGUUGAAGGUGAAAACCUGUGGCUCAACCAUAGGCUUGCCUACAAAACUGUAUAACUAGAGUACUGGAAAGGUGGGUGGAACUACACGAGUAGAGGUGAAAUUCGUAGAUAUGUGUAGGAAUGCCGAUGAUGAAGAUAACUCACUGGACAGCAACUGACGCUGAAGUGCGAAAGC
rnacentral:rRNA from 1 species